rnacentral:lncRNA from 1 species
UGCUAGUCUUUCUUAUUAGUAAUUAAUGUAUGUUUCAAUCUAAAAUUUUCACCUUGGCUUCUAUGAUAUGCUUUUCAUGCUAUUUUGCAUGUCUGCAACUGCUUGGAAGUUUGAUUUAUCAAUUUCUCAUAUCAAAUUCAAUAGCCAUUUCAUCAAACUUUCAGACAUACCUAACAGAAGUAACUGGUAAAUCAUUGACUCCAACUACUCAAAAAAGAAGUAGAAGCAGUAUAUCUGAAGAUUCAUUAUCUAGAAGUGCAUCUGAUUCAAGUGUUACUUAUCCGAGCAACAAAAAUGGUACUUUGGGCAUUUCACUUCCUCCAAUUGGGUAAGAUUUCAACUUACCUGUUUAAUUCAUGUCACCAAAAAUUUCAUUCUGAAAUCUUACUGGUGGAUUUAUUUAUUUAAAAUGUUUAUUCAUAUAAAUAAAUAUGCAUUUUAAAUAUAUUUAUAAAU